rnacentral:rRNA from 1 species
UACGUAGGGUGCGAGCGUUGUCCGGAAUUAUUGGGCGUAAAGAGCUCGUGGGCGGUCUGUCGCGUCUGCUGUGAAAACCCGAGGCUCAACCUCGGGCCUGCAGUGGGUACGGGCAGACUAGAGUGCGGUAGGGGAGAAUGGAAUUCCUGGUGUAGCGGUGGAAUGCGCAGAUAUCAGGAGGAACACCGAUGGCGAAGGCAGAUCUCUGGGCCGUAACUGACGCUGAGGAGCGAAAGCAUGGGGAGCGAACAGG